rnacentral:misc_RNA from 1 species
GAACAAAUUUUAUGAACGCUUACUCCAACAAUCUGCACUAAAAUUAAAACGACUAUUUUUCAAGACUUGAGUAAAAGUUUUAAGAUAACAUCAGAUACAUGUCCAAAAUUUCACCCCGAAUGGAGUAAACGUUAAAAUAAUACGUGUAAUUUGUAAGUGGUGCGUGAUUUCUGUAAAUUUUGGAUUUUUUUUUUUAUAACAAUUAAGGGUGCAGAUAGUAAUGGAGAUGAUUGGGAUGCAUGAAUAGAAUUUGUACUACACACUUGAUGAAAAUGUGAAUGGGGGUAUUUCAGAAUAAAUUAUAUAAAUAAUUACCUGUACUGUUUUAAAUACACUGUACAGAACUCCCCCUAUGGUUGGCUUGAUUACAAGAUUAAGCCAACACAAGCUCCCCUUCUUCUUGCUGUUCUUGUUGCUCAGCUUGCCGACCCUCCCUAUAAGGAAGAAGAAUUCGCUUGAUCUCUUCCGCACCAAGUGUUUCAUACUCUAAAAGUGCAUUUGCUAACUCAUGUAGUGCCUUCUCGUGCUGAAAAAGGAAAAAAGAGCAGUCAGCGGCUCCUAGAAUUUGCGUUAUCGGUAAACAUAACAAAUAUGACUCUCGACUAUACUUGGUGCUAAAGGUGCAUUACCUAAAAGUUCAAGCAGUACAAUUACACAGGAAAUACAAAAGAUAAGUUAAUCCUUUGUGCCAUUAGCUGAUUAUAAGUUGACGAUGCCAAGUUGCGACUUACAAACUCAGCAUGGUACCUUGUGUAUACUCAAAACUUUCCUUCAGCACUUCUAGCAGCUAAUGCAUUACCAGCUUUUACUUACCCAAAUAUAAGCAGUUAACCAGAUUAAUGAUAAAACUUGGAGACUUCAUUUUUAUUUUGAUGGAAAUAAAUAACUUUUGUUUCAUGAAGAACUUCAUGGUAGUACUAUGGCCUGGAUGGAGAGAAUAAGCAAUGCCUCUUGUCCCUUUUAGUCAAAAAUAAAAUAGCCCUUGCUCACUCCACGAAGAAAAAAUUAACAAAAAGAAAAAAAAAAACCUUGUCCAAUAAUAGCAGAUAAUCUCCCCCUAAAGCAAAGAUAUAGAUUCUUAAGAACGAACCUUCUUUAAUAGGGCUUUUACACGACCAUACGCUUCUCUUAGGAGUUUCACCACUUCAGCAUCAAUUCGUGACUGCAGUUCUGAACUUGGUUGCUCUUUGAUAUGAACUGGCCCUAUUGUAUCGCUCAUCCCACAAUUUGAUACCUUAAAUAAGCAUCAAGCCUUUAAAUGUUUGUUUGCUUUUCAUUCUAUAUGCACUAGAUAAAAUGAAUGGAAAUUUUAAAAGCAUGGUGACAUAAUUAUGCACAUUGAAUGAUAACCAACUUCAGACAACUGUUUAAAUAUCAUGGUUUUGAAACUUGAUAUGCCAAAAGGGAAAAAAAGGUUAGCAAGAAAAUUAACUAACUGAUAUAUAAAAUCAUAAUUUAUAUGAAAUAUUGGAAAGGAUCCCACUUGCAAAUGCAAGUAUUUACCAUAUAAUGCGCAAGUUCAGUAGCUGUAUGAAUAUCACCACUUGCUCCAGUAGUGAUAAGGUCCUGACCAAAUAUAAGCUCUUCUGCAACUCUUCCCCCCAUACAAACAUCAAGACGAGCUAACAACUGCUUCUUGCUAAUAGAUGUCUCAUCACUUGAAGGAAGCUGGGUAACCAUUCCUAAAGCAGAUCCACGCGGCACUAUUGUUGCCUUGUGAAUUGGAUGUGCACCAUCAGUGUUUAAGGCUACAAUAGCAUGGCCACUCUCAUGAUAUGCAGUUAACUUCUUUGAUUCUUCUGAAAUGAACAUUGUUUUCCGCUCAGUGCCCAUGAUGAUCCUGUCUUUUGCAAACUCUAAAUGUGCAGCAGUUAAAUACUCUGCACCUUCAACAGCAGCUUUAAUGGCAGCAAUGUUAACUAGGUUUGAAAGAUCUGCACCAUUGAAGCCUGGUGUGCCACGAGCAAUUGCUUUAACAUCUACAUCAUGUGCCAAGGGUUUAUCUUGCAAAUAGAGCUCCAAAAUAUCUUGACGACCCUGUACAUCUGGAUUUGGAACAACAAUAUGCCUGUCAAAUCUACCAGGCCUGGUCAAAGCUGGAUCAAGAAUAUCAGGCAAAUUUGUUGCAGCCAUCAGUAUUAUUCCCUCAUUUUGUUCAAAACCAUCCAUUUCAACUAAUAGUUGGUGCAAAGUUUUCUUUGUAUGGCCUUCCCAUUGUUUUCGUGUAGAUCCAACAGCAUCAAUUUCAUCGAUAAAAAUGAUGCAUGGAGCCUUUUUUUUAGCUGCUUGAAAUAAGGAUCUCACACGCCGAGCACCAACACCAACAAACAUUUCCUCAAAUUCAGAUCCUGCCCUAUAGAAAAAGGGUACCCCAGCUUCUCCAGCAAUAGCCUUGGCAAGCAAUGUUUUUCCUGUACCAGGUGCUCCUGUCAAAAGAAUUCCCUUUGGCAACUUCCCCCCAAGGCGAGUAAAUUUUGCUGGGUUUUUGAGGUACUCCACUACUUCCUCGAGCUCCUGUUUUGCAUCAUCACAACCUUUGACAUCCUUAAAUGUUUUAACAUUUUUCUCUGGCAUAACUUCUUUAUUUAACUCUUUGGAUGCAUAAGAAGAAGUUGAGCCAACUCCUGAAGUUCCUAUUCCGCCCAGGCUUCCAAUAUACUUCUGAAGAGCAGCUGCACCUAUUACCCAAACCAAUCCAACUGCAACAGUGAACAAGAUAGUUGAGAUCAGCUCUUGAGUGAAUCGUGACUUGUUUGACACUUUAGGGUCAACCAUCACCACAUGCAAUGGUUGCUUCUCAGAUAUGCCAGGAUUCAAAAAUGGCUCAUCCAUGUUUCCUGCUGCGCACUGCUUUAGUUCUUGUAACAAGGCAGGAAGACUGGAUGGCUUUCCAGAUUGUUCGUCUGGAAGAUAAUCAGCAAUAGCAUUAGUGACCACAAGCGCUCGAAGGUAUUCUGCAACUCCUUUACUGUCCACUGCAUGGUCUCUUUGUUCAAACCUCUUGAUUACAGACUCGGGGCUGUGCUUAUUGAGCUCGGCCAAGAGAGCGCUCUGCUUGUCGGCAUCCUUAGGAUUGGCAUCAGCCUCAGCAAUAAGGCGGUCCAAAAGCUUCUCUUGUUGCCAGAAAGGCCACCAAGUGAACCAGUGAGAUGCCAAAAGCUUCUCCAAUCCUCCCCUUGCUGAUGCCCACAGACCAACAAGAAAGACUAGCAAUGGUAUAUUGUUAUUCACUCCUUGUUCUUGCAACAAUUUCUCAUUGUUUCCUUCGCUACCCAUGGCAUUCUCACUAUGCAUUUCGCUAGACUCCCUUCCCGAACGCCCCCGUGCAAGUUCAUCAAUUCCCGAUACUCCAAAGCCAGAAACAGCGGAACUAUCUCCACCGCUCAACUCAUUGACUUUCGGUUUAAUAGAAUCGGAAUUUGAAUUCAAUCCAUAAGAAGUUAAUUCAGAAUUCAAAUUGGCAUUAUCCGGGUGCAAUGUACAAGAGAUUGAGGGAGGGAGGAGACGAAAUCUUAAACUUAGAAAAGUAAACAAGGAGAUAUUACUAGACAGAGAAAGAGAAGAAUGGUAAUGGUGGCGAGAGCAUUGAAGGCGUUGUUUAGAAGUAGAAUAGCAAGUGGGAGAUAGUGAAGGCUUACAGAGAAGAGAAGCUUGUAGAGUAAUAGUCAUAACGGUUUAUUAGGGUUUAACAGGUUACUAGACUGUGUCACUCGGCUUUCUAUCUGCUGUAGCGUUUGUUUUAUGCGAAAGAGUGUGUUGUUUGCUAAUGGAAAAGAGGGAGUUUGAGACUUGAGAACCACAAGAAUGGAAGGGAGGAGAGAUUAGAGAAAGCGAAGCAGCUGCAAUCUUAUCUCGAUUGAAAUUGGCGCCGGCUUUGUGCGUCAAACUCUGGUGUUUUUCUAUUGGCUAUUACAAAUCACUUUGUCCACUUAACCUUUG